CAAAAUUGGAACGAUACAGAGAAGAUUAGCAUGGCCCCUGCGCAAGGAUGACACACAAAUUCGUGAAGCAGUCCAUAUUUUA
ensembl:snRNA Gm25008 predicted gene, 25008